UGGGUCAUUCUGGUGUGCCCAGGUCGUGGUUCUUCUGGUGAGGUUGGUUUUAUGGACGCCAGUGUUGUUUGGCUUCUUGGGUCGUUUCUGUUUCGUGGCCUGUCUUGCUUGGUGCCGCCUGUGCUUGUGCUUGGUGCUGUCACUUUCUUGCGUGUCCUUGAGCGGGUCUUCUAUUGUUGGCGCAUUGCUGCUUGGUUUGGGGAGGGGUGGCGCAUGCCGGGCUUUUCUGCGGUGGGUCCUUCCCGAAUUGCGGAGGCUGUGUGUCUCCAAUAACUGUUGCCAUUUUGUCUAGCUCUAGUUUCUUGAUUGUCCUGGCGGCUUUCUACUUUUUCAGUGGCCACUUCACUUUCUUGGCGUGUUGCUCUUGUGACUAAUAUCUACUGUUCUCUGUAUAUUUGCAGUGCACAUUUACUAUAAAAUAGUCAUUUCAUACAUACUCUCGUU
rnacentral:lncRNA from 1 species